ACCAUUUCCCCUUGUCCUAUCACAACAGUCCCUCCUUUAGGUUCUGAGAGGUCAUUAUCAGGUCACCUCAGAACCUUUUCAAGGCUGAAUAGCCCCAGCUCUCUCAGCCUGACCUCAUAAAGGUGUUCUAUCCCUUAGAACAUUUUUGUGGCCCCUCAUCUGGAUGCAUUCCAGGUCUGUGUCUCUCCUGUACUGAGAACUCCACAUCUAGAUACAGUACUCCAGCUUUCAGGAGGAUCUGUUCCAUGCACUUCAUUGGCACAUGGGUGACACUGACAGCAAAUUCUGUUUAGAACAUCCUACACAGACCUGGAAACACAGUGCUGCACUUGGGGGAGAAAAAUUGCAUCUGUGGACUCCUGUCCCUGCCAGAUUACAAGAGUUUAUUACUCUUAGGGGAAAGCUUAAUAGUCUGUUAAUUGAGAAGACAGAAGAUCUUUUACACUUGGCUGCACACUAUUAUUAGGAGCAUUGCAAUAAAGGGAGCAAAGCUUAUCCUACAUAUUCAAGCAAAGUUUUGCAAAAUAGGAUAGUGAUGCAUUAUCCAUGCUAUGGUGACGCGGUUCUCUUCAGAGUACAAAAGGCCUCGUGGUAAUAAAAGCAUUGAUUACAGUCAGGGUUCUGUUGUGUGAGGACCAAUGCUAUGAGAAGAGCUGUGGUGGUUCUCAUGCUUCUGACUUUAUCCACAGAGUUGUAACUCUCUUACACCAUGGUGGUGUAAAGUUAGGCCUAACUUUCACAGAAUUACCAAUU